rnacentral:rRNA from 1 species
GGUUUACCUGUGUGACUGCGUACCUUUUGUAUAAUGGGUCAGCGACUUAUAUUCUGUAGCAAGGUUAACCGAAUAGGGGAGCCGGAGGGAAACCGAGUCUUAAUUGGGCGUUAAGUUGCAGGGUAUAGACCCGAAACCCGGUGAUCUAGCCAUGGGCAGGUUGAAGGUUGGGUAACACUAACUGGAGGACCGAACCGACUAAUGUUGAAAAAUUAGCGGAUGACCUGUGGCUGGGGGUGAAAGGCCAAUCAAACCGGGAGAUAGCUGGUUCUCCCCGAAAGCUAUUUAGGUAGCGCCUCGUGAAUUCAUCUCCGGGGGUAGAGCACUGUUUCGGCUAGGGGGCCAUCCCGGCUUACCAACCCGAUGCAAACUGCGAAUACCGGAGAAUGUUAUCACGGGAGACACACGGCGGGUGCUAACGUCCGUCGUGAAGAGGGAAACAACCCAGACCGCCAGCUAAGGUCCCAAAGUCAUGGUUAAGUGGGAAACGAUGUGGGAAGGCCCAGACAGCCAGGAUGUUGGCUUAGAAGCAGCCAUCAUUUAAAGAAAGCGUAAUAGCUCACUGGUCGAGUCGGCCUGCGCGGAAGAUGUAACGGGGCUAAACCAUGCACCGAAGCUGCGGCAGCGACGCUUAUGCGUUGUUGGGUAGGGGAGCGUUCUGUAAGCCUGCGAAGGUGGCCUGUGAGGGUUGCUGGAGGUAUCAGAAGUGCGAAUGCUGACAUAAGUAACGAUAAAGCGGGUGAAAAGCCCGCUCGCCGGAAGACCAAGGGUUCCUGUCCAACGUUAAUCGGGGCAGGGUGAGUCGACCCCUAAGGCGAGGCCGAAAGGCGUAGUCGAUGGGAAACGGGUUAAUAUUCCCGUACUUGGUGUUACUGCGAAGGGGGGACGGAGAAGGCUAUGUUGGCCGGGCGACGGUUGUCCCGGUUUAAGCGUGUAGGCUGGUUUUCCAGGCAAAUCCGGAAAAUCAAGGCUGAGGCGUGAUGACGAGGCACUACGGUGCUGAAG